rnacentral:rRNA from 1 species
GAUGAACGCUGGCGGCGUGCCUAAUACAUGCAAGUCGAGCGAAUGGAUUAAGAGCUUGCUCUUAUGAAGUUAGCGGCGGACGGGUGAGUAACACGUGGGUAACCUGCCCAUAAGACUGGGAUAACUCCGGGAAACCGGGGCUAAUACCGGAUAACAUUUUGAACCGCAUGGUUCGAAAUUGAAAGGCGGCUUCGGCUGUCACUUAUGGGUGGACUCGCGUCGCAUUAGCUAGUUGGUGAGGUAACGGCUCACCAAGGCAACGAUGCGUAGCCGACCUGGGAGAGUGAUCGGCCACACUGGGACUGAGACACGGCCCAGACUCCUACGGGAGGCAGCAGUAGGGAAUCUUCCGCAAUGGAAGAAAGUCUGACGGAGCAACGCCGCGUGAGUGAUGAAGGCUUUCGGGUCGUAAAACUCUGUUGUUAGGGAAGAACAAGUGCUAGUUGAAUAAGCUGGCACCUUGACGGUACCUAACCAGAAAGCCACGGCUAACUACGUGCCAGCCGCCGCCGUAG